AUGAAAAUAUAACAAAAAAUCUUAGAUAAAUAUUAUUAAGUAAUUAAUUUAACAGUUUGAUGAACAUUUUACAUAAUGAUGAUCAUAAAACCUAUUUUAACUCAUCUCUUUAAAUCGUUACCAAGUCACGGGAGAAAAGCAUGCAAUACAUGGAAAUGGUAUACUGAUUACAAAUUACCUUUAAUUAAUCUUACGGGUAGAUUUUAUCCACACAAAGUAUCUCAAAUGUGUACAUCUGAAAAUUUUUAUCCUAGUUCGGUAAACAAUAGCAGUGGGGGUAUCAUACAACGUUAUAAACUGGGUAAAAUAGCAUUUUUAAAAGCCCAAUACAAGAUGACCAUGUUACAGAGGGAACACGACCCCGAAUUUAACGUCGAAUCGUUCAAGAAAGGUGCUAAACAAGCGAUAUCUGUCAUUACAAAAAGCUUAAGUGAAAAUAAAAGUACAGAUUCUUAUCUAAGUUGGGAUGCAAGUAAAGAGCUUGAAAGAAUUUCGCAUACGUGGAGUGAAUCAGUAAGAGCAAAUAUUGCCUUAGAACCUUCUCAAAUAAAUCAAUUAAUUAUUUUAAAAGUCACUCAUAUUGAAAAAACUGAUGGUAUUGUAUAUCAAAUACUUACAUUUGUUGCGGGGUAUAAACAGUUUAGUGACUAUUCACUAGAAAUUCUUAUUCAAGCAAGAUAAUAUGAUAUGGCAGAUCGCACAAAACAAGAUUAGUCCACAUAGAUCCACAUGGAUGAUUUUCUUAGCGGUGAGGCUACCAAAGCAGAAGCAAUCAAGUUGCGCGACCGUCUAUUAGAAGUAAUGACUACUGCGAAGAUGGUCUUUGAACGACUCAAGUGUUCUCAAUAUUAUUAUCCACACUGAAAAGGAACAAAAAAAUAGAUGUACAAUUCGAAUAGAACGUGUAUAAAACAAAGUUGUUAAAAUUAAACAAUUUAAGUAUACUUCGUCAAAUUAUGAAGAAGAAUGAAAUAUACGUUAUGCAAAUUUAUGGCUUCACAGAUGCUAGUAAAAAGGCAUAUGGUUGUUGUCUAUAUUUAAAAUGCUUUGAAAAGGCCUGAAAUCAUUAUUCGAAUCUGAUAUGCGCGAAAUCCAAGGUAGCUCCAAUGAAGACGGUCUCUUUACCAUGCUUGGAGUUGUGCACCACUCAAUUACUAAAGCACGUAGCAUAUAAAAUAAUAUCAAAAUUACAAUUGAAAUUAUUGAUAAUAAUAAUAAUCGCAUAAUUAUGUUCUAAAUUCAAAAUUGACUGAAUAA